rnacentral:rRNA from 1 species
ACGUAGGGACCAAGCGUUGUUCGGAUUUACUGGGCGUAAAGGGCGCGUAGGCGGCAAUUCAAGUCAUCUGUGAAAUCUCCGGGCUUAACUCGGAACGGUCAGAUGAUACUGCUUUGCUCGAGUGCGGAAGGGGCAAUCGGAAUUCUUGGUGUAGCGGUGAAAUGCGUAGAUAUCAAGAGGAACACCUAAGGUGAAGACGGGUUGCUGGGCCGACACUGACGCUGACAGCGCGAAAGCCAGGGGAGCAAACGGGA